rnacentral:misc_RNA from 1 species
GAAAGAAUCAAGUUGCUUGAAAUUUUCAGACUUGUGAAUAAGAGAUUCAGUUGUGCAGUAAGAGUGAGAGCAUCACAGUUUCUGUCUGCCUGGGCUUUUACAAGUUCUUAAGAAUCAAGUUGCUCCUCAUGGAUCCAUGUCUGCCUCUGGAUUGAAUCUCCCUCUCCAUUGAUUUGAUUUCAUGUUUCUUAUCUUCUUUCAUCAGCAUAA